AAAGGAGCUUGCUUUUUCAACUCAGUGGCGGACGGGUGAGUAACGCGUGAGUAACCUGCCUUUCAGAGGGGGAUAACGUUCUGAAAAGAACGCUAAUACCGCAUAAGAUUGUAGCUUCGCAUGGAGCAGCAAUCAAAGGAGCAAUCCGCUGAAAGAUGGACUCGCGUCCGAUUAGAUAGUUGGUGAGGUAACGGCCCACCAAGGCGACGAUCAGUAGCCGGACUGAGAGGGUGACCGGCCACAUUGGGACUGAGACACGGCCCAAACUCC
rnacentral:rRNA from 1 species